rnacentral:lncRNA from 13 species
GGAUAUCCUAGGCAGCUUAGAGGGUGAUGGCUAAGGCGUUGUGAGGCUGCCAGCUGCUGCCGUGAGGAUGGUGGUGGGGUUGCUGCCUCGACUGUCGCGGGGCUGACGGCUGCUGCCAUGGGAUGGUGUCAGGGAUGCUGUGGAGGGUGCUAUGGAUGCUGCCUGGGCUGUCGUGGAGCUGACGGCGAAGCCGGUGUUGUGCUGACAGCCGGGCAGCCGCGCAGCUGCCGGCUCGGCUGCUCCUGGGGCGAAGCCUGCGCCCCUGUGGGGCUGACAGCGAGGGGAGCACCGAAGAGCUGAGCACUUCAGGCCGGAGUUGCUGGGGGGCCGGGCGGGGACUCUGAGCCGGCCCUUCCACCGCCACCUGCGCCGCGCUCCCCGCGGCCCCGCCCCGGUCCCACGGGCGGCGGCGGGGGUGUCGCUACCGAGGGCGUGCGGGCGGAGGAGGAGGAGGAGGAGGAGGAGGCGGCGGGAGGAGUAAGGCGGCGGCAGCAGCAGCAGCUCUCGGGAGGAGCCUGUCCACCGUGAGACAGCACAUUCAGCCGGCGGCGGCGGUCCUGCCGCAGCGGCGGGCGGCACGGCACAGCUCGGCUCGGCUCGGCUCGUCACGGCUCUGCUCAGCACGGCUCGGCUCGGCUCGGCAGGGCGCAGCUACUGGCAGCAGCCCUUCAGGCAGCGGGGCAUCCCUCUGCUCUCCCGGCGGCGAGCGCUCGGUGAGAGCUGCAAGGCGCCGGGAGCCGCUCCGCAUCUCCCGGGCGCCGGCGGAGAUCAAUCAGUCUUACCUGCUGAUAUAGAGGGGAUGAGAUGGAAGGACCUGACAUGAAGUUGGCAUGUGGAAGUCGCUUCUGCAUGAGGACUUUAAUUUACAUUGGAAAUUGCGCUAAAUAUCAUGAAGCACGGAACUGCAAAAACCUAUUUCAGAAUGGAAAUCCCACGUCCCAGGACUGCCUGUCUCCUGAUAGAUGGUGUUAUCAGAGCAAUUAGGGAAUUUAAUUUCUGUUACUACCAAUGUGUUUUGUCAAAGUACCUCAUUUGUUCUUGCUAAUUUAAUGGGGGAAAGUUACAUUCUGAUUCUUUUAAGCUCUUUCUUUUUGGUUUUUAUUUUCAUUUGAGAUGGCAUUUCUAGUAACAUUUUCCACAGUUAGUGAAGGCAGAUAAAAUUCCAUUUAUAAUUUCUCUGCAGCAUUUUUCUGCAAGAAUGGGUUUCUUCAACACAAACCUUGGGGCUGCAUCCAGGUGUUCUCCCCGUGGGAAUGCUCACUCUGAUAACCAUCCUCUGCUUUGUUUUCUUUUCCCAAAAUCAUCCAUUUAUAGUCCAUAAAAAUACAAAAUGUGUUGCCCCUUCUCUACCUUCUUUAUGAAUAGACUGUUUUGAAGGUUGGGACUUGCCAUCAUCUUCCUUGAUAAGCGAGACUUCUGAGGGCCAGGUAUGUGGAGAUCCAAAAGAUUUUUUAGAGUUGGAUUGGCUGGAUUUCUCUGAGCUCUAAGCACCUCUGCCUCAAAUUAGUCUACCACAAAAAUGCACUAACUGUGGUGCUGCUGUAUCCACAGUUUAAGGGAGGAAUCUUUAAAAGAGUGGCAAUAAACCACACCCAUCACAUGCAGUAAUUCUUGGAAGUUUGGAAAUGUGGCUACUCAAAGAAUAGUCAGGGAAAUAUUCUUUUGUACCCUGAAGAUCUUAAAUUAAGAAGCUGACCUUUCAGCUCUUUCUAUAGAAGGAAGGGGAGUGAGCUGCCUCCUUUGUGAUGCCCUUCAGUGGCUAUUUUUUUCAUGAUUGAAAUGCAUUUGAUUUCCAGUGUAUUUUCCCAACUUCGGGUUUCUGGUUCCUGUUAUGGCUCCCGUAGAUAAAAGCUUUGCUUUAGCAGCUGUCUUCAGUGUAGGUACUCUAAAUGAUGCAGCAAGAACUUACCUGCCUUAUUUUCAAAUAAAUUAACGGAUCAAGUCUCUUGGUCUUCUUUACUUUUGUAAGACAGGUUUCAAAAAGCAUUCCUUGAUGCCGUCUAUUUUCCUGCCUCCAAGAAGAGAGAGGAGGAAUACCAGGUAGAGCUGCUAGCAAUGGGUUGUGUUAGAGGUCCCACCAUUGUAGGAUACUGGACAAUGAUGUGUAAUGGGCUGGAAGGGAAAACGAUAAGGGAUUGAAAGAGAAAAAACAUGAGGGUAUAGAAAGGCAGUGUUGUUUUUAAAAGCUUCACUUAACUCCUGCUAAUGAUUCAGGUAAUGAAUGUUAACAGAAUGAUCCUCCUUGUCCUAUCCAUGGGCUUUAAUUUUCAGAGAAGUUGGAGGGAAGUAACACUGCAAUUCUCACUGAGGCACACGGGGCGAUUCAUACCUGCAGAGAUAAGGUCUCAGGCUUUCUGCAGCCAUACUCAUUCUUAGUGCAGUACUCAUCUGGUACUUUGAGAUUUUUAUUUUAAAAACCUUAAAUGAAACAUAAUGACUUUAGAUGUAGUCUGUGUUUAAAAGGGACAUUUUCCUGCUGAACUACUGAUGGAAUAUGCUGGCAAAGUGGCCUCAGUACAGAUGCAACUUGUGUUAGUAAAACUGUGCUUUUGCCA